rnacentral:rRNA from 1 species
UACGGAGGAUGCAAGCGUUAUCCGGAUUCAUUGGGUUUAAAGGGUGCGCAGGCGGGGAUGUAAGUCAGUGGUGAAAAGCUGCCGCUUAACGGUAGUCUUGCCAAUGAUACUGCAUUUCUUGAGUAUGGUUAAGGUAGGCGGAAUGUGCAGUGUAGCGGUGAAAUGCAUAGAGAUUGCACAGAAGGCCGAUUGCGGAGGCAGCUUACUGAGCCAUAACUGACGCUGAGGCACGAAAGCGUGGGGAUCGAACAGG